CGCUGAGGAACCACCUGUUCCCAUACCGAACACAGAAGUUAAGCUCAGCAGUGCCGAAGAUACUUGGUGGGGGACUGCCUGGAAAAAUAGGUCUAUGCCGGUU
rnacentral:rRNA from 1 species